GACGAAGGGGGCUAGCGUUGUUCGGAAUUACUGGGCGUAAAGCGCGUGUAGGCGGUUGCCCAAGUCGGGUGUGAAAGCCUUGAACUCAACUCAAGAAAUGCACUCGGUACUGGGUGACUAGAGGACCGGAGAGGAUAGUGGAAUUCCCAGUGUAGUGGUGAAAUACGUAGAGAUUGGGAAGAACACCAGUGGCGAAGGCGGCUAUCUGGACGGUUUCUGACGCUAAGACGCGAAAGCGUGGGGAGCAAACAGG
rnacentral:rRNA from 1 species